GCCUUGAAGUUUGUGAAGCGUUUGGUCUACUCGCUGUACUGUCUGGCGCUUCAUGUCUUGGCCUCUUGUUAACUCACUUGAUCCUGCAGAGUUUCAGAAAACCCAGCAAGAAAUUUCUUCUGACUUUAGCAACGCUGGGCGGUAUCUUGUCAGCUGUGUUCGUCACCAUAACAGCCAGUGUCUGGGGCGCCCUGCACCAUGUAGGUGGACGAAACCUAUAUGUUGGUUACUCAUUAAUACUAACAGUUAUUGGUGGAAUAUUGUUACCCAUCUCUGGGGUACUUGGCUGCCUAACAUCUCGGAAUAACCGCUUCUAAUACAUUUGCCGGCGAACUGUUUAGCGCUGUUUAGUGUAGGACUUUAUAACUUGUGCAAUUUUGUGUUUUCUUGGGUUUCAAGAUUCAAAUAUUUGUAUUUAUUUAGUAUUAUUUAAAUUUGAAGAAAAGCUAUACGGAGAGCUGCCUAAGUUGGCAAGUACUGUCAGUUCAUCUUAUUCCGAAUUAUGGUAUGAAGAACGCAAAAGAAGAACAUGAACUUGAAGAAGUAAUUUAAUAUUUCAAGACAAGUCAUUGACUGAAUGAAUCGAAUUUAUUUGACGACAAAAGAAACGGGAACAAUACAAAUAUGUAAAAAUAUUUGUUCUUAUUCUGCCUACUGUUCAUAAAAUGAAAUUGUAAUUUUUUUUUUAAGAAAUCAAUUUGAAUGUAAUGCCAGUAUCUUUAUUUUCGUAUUAUUUUAUAAAAUAAAAUGAUAAGAUUUA
rnacentral:sRNA from 1 species